AGGAAUACAGUCUCUGUGGCCAGUCUCCUUGGAUCAACAAGAGCCUUGUAGUUUCCCAUUUUUCAUGUGCUAAUAGUGAAAAUGUUUAGAAAGCCCCAUCUAUCCUCCCACAUUGGCAUCCCACUGAUGUGCUGUCCUGGUUGCUAGGUGCAGAUUUAGGUUCCAAGCAGAACACUGCUAGUGUUCUCUGCAGUUUGUUGUAGAAUCAUAGUGUCUUGGCAACCAAAGGCAGAUCUGGUGCUAUGGAGGACCUGCUUACUGCUAUGAGGUGUUACUUUAUAGAGGUCCUGGAGAAGCUGAUUGAGGCCACGUCAAUGUUGCAAGGAGACAUGAGACUCACAUCAGAGUUCUAUGGCUUAACAUGGGGGAUGGUGUGAAAAGAAACAGAGAUCGUUGGAGAAAUGUCUGAUUAUAAGAUAUUUCUAAGCCUGGUGAAGAAAUAUAUAAGAGAAGCCUGGAGAAGAACCAGUAAUACCAGAAAUCAGGGAGGGGCCCUGAAGAGAAAAGGAUAACAAAAGGAUGAAGACCUGUCCAAGGGACCCAGCAGCUAACUUGAAAGAGCUCUCAAUGGGUAAAGCUGGAGCAAUUUCAACAACAAAAUAAAUAACAUAUCACUGGAUUAUAACCUGAAGUAUAAAACGUAUGAGUCCAUACUCUUAUAAAUAAAUGAUUGAAUAAAUACAUAAA